UGCUGGAUCAUCCAAUGGCAGGAUGCGUGACUCUGAAUCACGUCAUGCAGGUUCGACCCCUGCUCCAGCAGCCG
rnacentral:tRNA from 1 species